GAUGAACGCUGGCGGCGUGCCUAAUACAUGCAAGUCGAGCGAACAGACGAGGAGCUUGCUCCUUUGACGUUAGCGGCGGACGGGUGAGUAACACGUAGGUAACCUACCUAUAAGACUGGGAUAACUUCGGGAAACCGGAGCUAAUACCGGAUAAUAUUUCGAACCGCAUGGUUCGAUAGUGAAAGAUGGCUUUGCUAUCACUUAUAGAUGGACCUGCGCCGUAUUAGCUAGUUGGUAAGGUAACGGCUUACCAAGGCAACGAUACGUAGCCGACCUGAGAGGGUGAUCGGCCAAACUGGAACUGAGACACGGUCCAGACUCCUACGGGAGGCAGCAGUAGGGAAUCUUCCGCAAUGGGCGAAAGCCUGACGGAGCAACGCCGCGUGAGUGAUGAAGGUCUUCGGAUCGUAAAACUCUGUUAUUAGGGAAGAACAAACGUGUAAGUAACUGUGCACGUCUUGACGGUACCUAAUCAGAAAGCCACGGCUAACUACGUG
rnacentral:rRNA from 1 species